AUACGGAGGGUGCAAGCGUUAUUCGGAAUCACUGGGCGUAAAGGACGCGUAGGCGGGUUGGCAAGUCAGAUGUGAAAUCCUACAGCUUAACUGUAGAACUGCAUUUGAAACUGCUAACCUAGAGUAUGGGAGGGGAAGAUGGAAUUAGUGGUGUAGGGGUAAAAUCCGUAGAUAUCACUAGGAAUACCGAAAGCGAAGGCGAUCUCCUGGAACAUAACUGACGCUAAGGCGUGAAAGCGUGGGGAGCAAACAGGAUUAGAUACCCCAGUAGUCC
rnacentral:rRNA from 1 species